ensembl:lncRNA
CAGCGUUAUGCAACAACCACGGCUAUGACAGCAGACGAUAAGAAAAGCAUGUCUUUAUCCUGUCUUCCUUCCCUCUCCCCAACCGGUCGCAGCAAAUGGCCCCGCCCCUCCCUGAGCCUGGUUCUGCUGGAGGUUUCUUCUUGUUAAAAGGGAGUUUUUCCUUCCCACUGUCGCCAAAGUGCUUCCUCAUAGGGGGGCAUAUGAUUGUUGGGUUUUUCUCUGUAUGUAUUAUUGUAGGGUCUACCUUACAAUAUAAAGCGCCUUGAGGCGACUGUUGUGAUUGUGUAAUUGUGAUUUGGCGCUAUAUAUAUAGAAUUGAACUGAACUGAAAAUAACUGAAAAUAAAAUGUUCAUUUCUAAUACUUGGUUGAAAACCCUUUGCUGACAAUGACAGCCUGAAGUCUUGAACUCGUGGACAUCACCAGAUGCUGGUUUUCCAUCUUUUUAAUGCUCUGCCAGGCCUUUACUACUGCAGCUUUCAGUUGCUGUUUGUUUGCUUGCAGGCCUAUCUGUCUGUAGUGUAGUCUUCAACACGUGAAAUGCAUGGUCACUUGGGUUGAGAUCAGGUGACUCACUUGGCCAUUCAAGAAUAUUUCACUUCAUUGCUUUAAGAAACUCCUGGGUUGCUUUGGCUGUAUGUUUUGGGUCAUUGUCCAUCUGCAUUAUGAAAUGCCCCCCAAUCAGUUUGACUGUGUUUAGCUGGAUUUGAGUAAACAGUAUGUCUCUGAACACCUCAGAAUUCAUUUGGCUGCUUUUGUCCUUUGUCACAUCAGCAGUAAACACUAGUGUCCCAGUGCCACUGGCAGCCAUGCACACCCAAACCGUCACACUGGCUCCAGUAUGUUUUGCAGAUGAUGUGUAUGCUUUGGAUCAUUAACUGUUUCACACCUUCUCCAUACGUUGCUACUUACUCUGUUAACUGGGUGACUGUGGCUCAUAAGAUAAACUGGGUCGUCUACCAAUUGGAGAGUCUGUGGUUUGUGCCCCAAACUUCCCCAGUCUGCAUGUUGAAGCAUCCUGAGACAAAAUAUUAAACCCUGAGUUGCCCCAGUGCAUCCACUGGAGUGUGUUUGUUAAACAAGGUUCUUAUGUAUAGAAAGCACAUUUGUAUUUGGGUGAAUGAGGCUUACAGUGAAAAGCCCUCUGAGUGCUCAGAGUAGAAAAGUGCCAUAAUGUACAUGCAACUGUAAUAUUAUAUUGCGCAUCGGGUUAUUAGAUAUUAAAGGGUUUGUGUUAUCAACUGAUGACACGGUGCACCAUUAGUACUAGAAAAUGAACUUUUUUGCUGAAACACACCUGCUUUUCAAAAGCAGCACAUUUGGUCAUUAAAAUACCAAAUCAUAGCUUGACAUGUAGCAGCAGACAAUGCAGAAUCUGCGCGUGA